rnacentral:rRNA from 1 species
GCCGUAAACAUUGAUAGAUUAGUACAACCCCUAUCCGCCCGGGAACUACGAGCACCAGCUUAAAACCCAAAGGACUUGGCGGUGCUUUAGAUCCUACUAGAGGAGCCUGUUCUGCAACCGAUAACCCCCGUUCAACCUCACCCUUCCUUGUUUUCCCCGCCUAUAUACCGCCGUCGUCAGCCCACCCUAUGAGGGUCUAAAAGUAAGCUAAAUUGGCACAGCCCAAAACGUCAGGCCGAGGUGUAGCGUAUGGAAGGGGAAGAAAUGGGCUACAUUCCCUGUAUUAGGGCAUACGAAUCGUGUGUUGAAACACACAUCUUGAAGGAGGAUUUAGCAGUAAGCAGGAAAUAGAGCGUCCUGCUGAAAUUGGCUC